AUGAGCUGCACUUGUGGGGCAGGAAUUGGCACUUGUGGGGCAGGAGGGUGGCACUUGUUGGGUGGGAGGUGGAUGAUGUGGGGCAGGAGGUGGCACUUGUGGAGCAGGAUGUGGAAGUUGCGUGGCAGGAUUUGGCACUUGUGGGGUGGGAGGUGGAACUUGUGGGGCAUGAGGUGGAAUUUGUGGGGUGGUAGGUUGCACUUGUGGGGCAGGAGUGGCACUUGUGGGGAGGGAUGUGGCACUUGUGGGGGCCAGGAGUUGGCACUUGUGGGGCUGGAGGUGGCACUUGUGGGGCAGGAGGUGGAUGAUGUGGGGCAGGAGUUGGCACUUGUGGAGCAGGAGGUAAAAGUUGCGGGGCAGGAUUUGGCACUUGUGGGGCAGGAUGUGGCACACGUUGGGCAGGAGUUGGCACUUGUAUGGCGGGAUGUUGAAGUUGUGGGGCGGGAGGUGGCAUUUGUGGGGCUGGAACUGGCUCUUGUGGGCCGUGAGGUGGAAGUUGUGGGGCAGGAAAUGGCACUUGUGGGGGGUCAGGAGGUGGCACUUGUUGGGCAGGAGGUGGAACUUAUGGGGUGUGACGUGGAAGUUGUGGGGCGGGAGGUGGCACCUGUGGAAAUGGAGAUGGCACUAGUGGGGCAGGUAGUGGCACUUGUGGGGCGGGAUAUGGAACUUAUGGGGCAGGAGUUGACACUUUUGGGGGCAGGAGGUGGAAGUUGUGGGGCUGGACGUGGCACUUGUGGGGCGGGAGUUGGCAAUUUUGGGGGAGGGUGGUGGCACUUGUUGGGCAGGAGGUGGCACUUGUGGGGCAGGAGGUGGCACUUGUGGGGCAGGAGGUGGUACUUGUGGGGCGGGAGGUGGCACUUGUGGGGCAGGAGGUGGUACAUGUGGGGCGUUACGGUGGGAAAAAAAGGAAAAGUUUGUGGGGCGGGAGGUGGCUGCUUUUGAGUGGGGGGCCAGGAGGUGGAAGCUUGUUGAGCGGUCAGUUAGGUAGAUGGAAGUUGUGGGGCGGGAGGUGGCACUUGUGGGUCGGGAGGUGGCACUACUGGGGCAGGAGGUGGAAGUUGUGGAGUGGGAGGUGAAGUUGUGGGGCAGGAGGUUGCACUUGUGUGUCAGGAGGAGGAAGUUGGGCGGUCAGUGACACUUGUGGGGCAGGAGGUGGAUUAUUUGGGGGGGAGGUGGCAGUGGUGUGGCAAAAUGUGGCACUUGUGGGGCAGGAGCUGGCACUUCAGGGGAAUGAGCUGGCACUUGUAGGGCAGGAAUUGGCACUUGUAAGGCAGGAGGUGGAACUUGUGGGGCGGGAUGUGGCACUUGUGGGGUGGGAGGUGGCACUUGUGGGGCAGGAGGUGGCACUUGUGGGGCAGGAGGAGGCUGUUGUUGGGCGGGAGGUGGGACUUGUGUAACAAGAGGUGGAAAUUGUGCGGUGGGAUGUGGCACUUGUGGGGCAGGGGGUGGCACUUGUGGGGCGGGAUGUGGCAGUUGUGGGGCAGAUGAUGACACCUGUGGGGCGGGAGGUGGAUGUUUUGGGGAAGGAGGUUGAAGUUGUGGGGGAGGGGUUGGCACUUGUGGGGCAGGAAAUGUUACUUGUGGGGCAAGAAGUGGCUCUUGAAGGGCAGGAGGUGGCACUUGUGGGGCAGGAGUUAAUUCUUGUGGAUCUGGAGGUGGCACUUGUGGGCUGGAGGUUGCACUUGUGAGGCGGGAGGUGGAAGUUGUGGGGCGGGUGGUGGCAGUUGUGGGGCUGGAGGUAUCACUUGUGCGGGCAGGAAGUGGCACUGCGAGUGUGGGGGAAGAGGGUGAGCACUUGAGGGGUGCAUAGGAGGCUGGGCACUUGUGGGCAGAAGUUGGUACAUGUGGGGCGGGAGGUGGCACUUGUGGGCAGGAGGUGGCACUUGUGGUGCGGGAGGUGGAACUUGUGGGGCGGGAGGGUGGAACUUGUGGGUCAGGAGUUGGAUUUGUGGGGCGGGUUGUGGCACUUUGGGGCGGGUUGUGGCACUUGUGGGGCGGGAGGUGGCACUUGUGGGGCGUGAGGUGGAAGUUGUGGGGCGGCAGGUGGCAAUUGUGGGUCAGGAGGAGGCAUUUGUGAGGCAGGAGGUGGAUGAUGUGGGGCAGGAGGUGGCACUUGUGAGGGAAGAGGUACUUGUGGGGCAGGAAGUGGCACUUGUGGGGCAGGAGGAGGCACUUGUGGGCAGGGAGGAGGCACUUGUGGGGCAGAAGGUGGCACUUGUGGGGCAGGAGUUGGCACUUGUGGGGCUGGAAGUGGCACUUGUGGGGCUGGAGGUGGCACUUGUGGAAUUGGAGUUGGCACUAGUGGGGCAGAAGGUGGAAGUUGUGGGGAAGUAUUUGGCACUUGUGGGGCAAGAGGUGGAACUUGUGGAGCAGGAGGUGCAUUUGUGGAGGGAGGCUAUGAGUUGACAGCUUGUGGGGGGGGCAGAGAGGUGGCAAGCUUGUUGGGGGCAGUGAGGUUGGCAGGCUUGUGGGGCAGGAGUUGGCACUUGUGGGGCAGGAGGUGGUCCUUGUGGGACGAGAGGUGGCACUUGUUGGGCAGGAGGUGGAACUUAUGGGGCGUUACGUGGAAGUUGUGGGGGCGGGAGGUGGCUCUUUUGAGGGCAGGGAGGUGGAACUUGUGAGCCAGGAGAGCUGAGAAGGUUNNNNNNNNNNNNNNNNNNNNNNNNNUUUCCUUCCUUUCCUUCCUUUCCUUCCUUUCCUUCCUUUCCUUCCUUUCCUUCCUUUCCUUCCUUUCCUUCCUUUCCUUCCUUUCCUUCCUUCCUUCCUUUCCUUCCUUCCUUCCUUCCUUCUUUUUUUAUAAUAAAAGAAACCAACUAUAUCCA
rnacentral:lncRNA from 1 species